rnacentral:rRNA from 1 species
GUGCUAAGGUAGCAAAAUAAUUUGUUCUUUAAUUAAGGAAUAGAAUGAAAGAAAUAUCAAUAAGAAUGCUGUCUCCCUAAAAAAAUAAAAAUUUACCUAGAGGUGAAAAGGCCCCUAUUAAAAUAAAAGACAAAAAGACCCUAAAAGCUUUUAAUUAUUAAUACUUACUAUAAUUAAUAUUAUUUAGCUGGGAUGGCGGGGGGCAUAACACCCCUUAUAUAAAAGAGUAUUCAAUAUAAUAACCAUUCAUAAUAAAAAAAGUAAGCUACUUUAGGGGUAACAGGCUAUUAUUCUUCAAGAGUACACAUUGACAAGAAUGUUUGGCACCUCGAUGUUGGCUUAGGGCAAGAAUUUUAAGCAAAAAUAAAUUUUCUUGUUUUGUUCAACCUUCAAACCCCUACAUGAUCUGAG